UUGAACGCUGGCGGCAGGCCUAACACAUGCAAGUCGAACGGUAACAGGAAGCAGCUUGCUGCUUUGCUGACGAGUGGCGGACGGGUGAGUAAUGUCUGGGAAACUGCCCGAUGGAGGGGGAUAACUACUGGAAACGGUAGCUAAUACCGCAUAACGUCGCAAGACCAAAGAGGGGGACCUUAGGGCCUCUUGCCAUCGGAUGUGCCCAGAUGGGAUUAGCUAGUAGGUGGGGUAAUGGCUCACCUAGGCGACGAUCCCUAGCUGGUCUGAGAGGAUGACCAGCCACACUGGAACUGAGACACGGUCCAGACUCCUACGGGAGGCGGCAGUGGGGAAUAUUGCACAAUGGGCGCAAGCCUGAUGCAGCCAUGCCGCGUGUAUGAAGAAGGCCUUCGGGUUGUAAAGUACUUUCAGCGGGGAGGAAGGGAGUAAAGUUAAUACCUUUGCUCAUUGACGUUACCCGCAGAAGAAGCACCGGCUAACUCCGUGCCAGCAGCCGCGGUAAUACGGAGGGUGCAAGCGUUAAUCGGAAUUACUGGGCGUAAAGCGCACGCAGGCGGUUUGUUAAGUCAGAUGUGAAAUCCCCGGGCUCAACCUGGGAACUGCAUCUGAUACUGGCAAGCUUGAGUCUCGUAGAGGGGGGUAGAAUUCCAGGUGUAGCGGUGAAAUGCGUAGAGAUCUGGAGGAAUACCGGUGGCGAAGGCGGCCCCCUGGACGAAGACUGACGCUCAGGUGCGAAAGCGUGGGGAGCAAACAGGAUUAGAUACCCUGGUAGUCCACGCCGUAAACGAUGUCGACUUGGAGGUUGUGCCCUUGAGGCGUGGCUUCCGGAGCUAACGCGUUAAGUCGACCGCCUGGGGAGUACGGCCGCAAGGUUAAAACUCAAAUGAAUUGACGGGGGCCCGCACAAGCGGUGGAGCAUGUGGUUUAAUUCGAUGCAACGCGAAGAACCUUACCUGGUCUUGACAUCCACGGAAGUUUUCAGAGAUGAGAAUGUGCCUUCGGGAACCGUGAGACAGGUGCUGCAUGGCUGUCGUCAGCUCGUGUUGUGAAAUGUUGGGUUAAGUCCCGCAACGAGCGCAACCCUUAUCCUUUGUUGCCAGCGGUCCGGCCGGGAACUCAAAGGAGACUGCCAGUGAUAAACUGGAGGAAGGUGGGGAUGACGUCAAGUCAUCAUGGCCCUUACGACCAGGGCUACACACGUGCUACAAUGGCGCAUACAAAGAGAAGCGACCUCGCGAGAGCAAGCGGACCUCAUAAAGUGCGUCGUAGUCCGGAUUGGAGUCUGCAACUCGACUCCAUGAAGUCGGAAUCGCUAGUAAUCGUGGAUCAGAAUGCCACGGUGAAUACGUUCCCGGGCCUUGUACACACCGCCCGUCACACCAUGGGAGUGGGUUGCAAAAGAAGUAGGUAGCUUAACCUUCGGGAGGGCGCUUACCACUUUGUGAUUCAUGACUGGGGUG
rnacentral:rRNA from 1 species